UUCUUCUCCCCGACGAGAGAGAGUUUGCUCCGGGCUCGGCUUCUCUUCUUCCUUCUCGAGCUCCCACGCCGCACGCCCCUCAUCUCCCUCCCCUCCGCCCCCCUGUCCCACGCGCCGCGCCAAUCCCCACCACUCCCAACGUCACCGGCGCCAGGCCAGCUCCACCCAACAUCCAUCACCCGGAACACGAGAUCCGAAAGGCGGGCGGGCGGCGGCGGCGGCGGCGGCGGCUCGGAAGAUGGCGGCCACGCUGCCGCAGCUGGACGACGGCAUCGUCCGCAGCAUGGCCAUCGGCGCGGUCUUCACCGACUACGCCGGGAAGAUAAGCUGCCUCGAUUUCCACCGCAAGGAGGACCUCCUCGUCACCUCCAGCGAGGACGACUCCAUUCGCCUCUACAACACCACCAGCGCCACGUUGUCGAAGACUACUUAUCAUAAAAAACAUGGUGCUGACCGUGUCUGUUUUACUCAUCAUCCGAGUUCCAUAUUAUGUUCAUCAAGAUACAAUGUGGAGUCAGGAGAAUCACUUCGUUACCUGUCAUUGUAUGACAACCGUUGCUUGAGAUAUUUCAAAGGACACAAAGACAGGGUUGUUUCACUAUGUAUGUCACCUGUCAAUGAUAGCUUUAUGUCGGGGUCACUUGAUCACAGUGUCAGAAUAUGGGAUCUUCGUGUAAAUGCUUGUCAGGGUAUACUGCGUCUGCGUGGUAGGCCUUCUGUUGCAUAUGAUCAGCAGGGACUUGUUUUUGCUGUAGCAAUGGAGGGAGGUGCUAUUAAGCUGUUUGAUUCUCGGUCAUAUGACAAGGGUCCAUUCGACACUUUCUUGGUUGGUGGAGAUACGGCUGAAGUGUCUGACAUUAAAUUCAGCAACGAUGGCAAGUCUGUGCUUUUGACUACAACUAACAACCAUAUAUAUGUUCUAGAUGCAUAUGGAGGGGAGAAGAAGUGUGGCUUCAGCUUGGAGUCAUCUCGCAACAUAGCAACUGAAGCUGCUUUCACUCCAGAUGGUCAAUAUGUAAUUUCAGGAUCUGGUGAUGGUACCUUGCAUGCUUGGAACAUCAAUACAGUACAGGAGAUUGCCUGUUGGAACAGUCAUAUUGGUCCUAUCACUGCUUUGAAAUGGGCCCCUCGUCGAGCUAUGUUCGCAACUGCAUCGACAGCACUGACUUUCUGGAUUCCCAACGAAUCCAGUUCGAGUUAGGUCUCUGAGGAAGGGAGAUGGAACAUGGAAUGCGCUAACUUAACAAAAGGCUUGUAUCAUGUUCUUUCCUUGACAGGACAGAACUUGAAGAACUACCAUGGGAGACCAAACGAAAGGGCAAGGUGCAAAUUACAGAACCAUCAGUCGUCUACACCAAGGCGGUCCAUUAAACCCGAAAUAGCGCCUUGCAUCAUUAUUACUACUGGGAGCAGCAAGGCGCAACAUACAACAUGAAGCACUAAACCAUAAAAUCAACACCACUAGUCAUCUAUCAAACAUGCGACAAUGGAGCAGAUUUCCUGCCCAAGAGACACCCUACUUCUGCCUCUUGUAGAUCUUGUGCAAGAAGGACUUCAGAACCUUCUGAACAGCGUCGCUCGGCUGGGCUUCGAUACCAGCAAUCAGCUUCUUGUAGCUCUCGCUCUCGUACUCAUGAAAUACCGCCUGCAAUAAAUAAUAGUCAAACCAGUGGUUAGACAAUGCCAUAUUUUGCGGAGUA